CAGCCGCCGCGGGAAUACGAGGGGGGCAAGCGUUGUUCGGAUUUAUUGGGCGUAAAGGGUGCGUAGGCGGUUUGGCAAGUCUUGUGUGAAAUCUAUGGGCUCAACCCAUAGUCUGCAUAAGAAACUGCCGGGCUUGAGUACGGUAGAGGGGGAUGGAAUUCCGCGUGUAGCAGUGAAAUGCGUAGAUAUGCGGAGGAACACCGAUGGCGAAGGCAAUCCCCUGGACCUGUACUGACGCUCAUGCACGAAAGCGUGGGGAGCAAACAGGAUUAGAUACCCCUGUAGUCCCUGUCUCUUAUAC
rnacentral:rRNA from 1 species